rnacentral:sRNA from 1 species
AGGUAGUGAGUUAUCUCAAUUGAUUGUUCACAGUCAGUUACAGAUUGAACUCCUUGUUCUACUCUUGCCCCCCUUCUCACUAUUGCGA